ACACGUGGGCAAUCUGCCCUUCACUCUGGGACAAGCCCUGGAAACGGGGUCUAAUACCGGAUACGACACGCGACCGCAUGGUGCGCGUGUGGAAAGCUCCGGCGGUGCAGGAUGAGCCCGCGGCCUAUCAGCUUGUUGGUGAGGUAAUGGCUCACCAAGGCGACGACGGGUAGCCGGCCUGAGAGGGCGACCGGCCACACUGGGACUGAGACACGGCCCAGACUCCUACGGGAGGCAGCAGUGGGGAAUAUUGCACAAUGGGGCGAAAGC
rnacentral:rRNA from 1 species